CCUACGGGUGGCAGCAGUGGGGAAUAUUGGGCAAUGGGCGCAAGCCUGACCCAGCAACGCCGCGUGAAGGAAGAAGGCUUUCGGGUUUUAAAAUUCUUUUGUCAGGGAAGAGUAGAAGACGGUGCCUGACGAAUCAGCCACGGCUAACUACGUGCCAGCAGCCGAGGUAAUACGUAGGUGGCAAGGGGUGUGCGGAUUUACUGGGUGUACAGGGAGUGUAGACGGGUUGACAAGGCAGAUGUGAAAUCCUGCGGCUUAAACGGAGAACUGCAUUGGACACUGGUGAUCUUGAGUACUGGCGAGGCAGGUGGAAUUCCUGGUGUAGCGGUGAAAUGCGUAGAUAUUAGGCGGAACACCAGUGGCGAAGGCGGUAUGCUGGACAGCAACUGACGGUGAGGCGCGAAAGCGUGGGGAGCAAACAGGAUUAGAUACCCUUGUAGUC
rnacentral:rRNA from 1 species